ensembl:snRNA U2 U2 spliceosomal RNA
AUCGCUUCUCGGCCUUUUGGCUAAGAUCAAGUGUAAAACGCAUGGCAUAUAUUUAGAAAAUUUCUCAGAUAUAUUGGAAUUAUGUCUGAGAAAAUAUAUGACGGAAGGCUGAAUGGUCAUGUAGUUAUAU